UACGGAGGGUGCAAGCGUUAUCCGGAUUUACUGGGUUUAAAGGGUGCGUAGGCGGGCCCUUAAGUCAGUGGUGAAAGCUCCGAGCUUAACUCGGAAACUGCCAUUGAUACUAUAGGUCUUGAAUUCGGUCGAGGUUGGCGGAAUGUGUCGUGUAGCGGUGAAAUGCUUAGAUAUGACACAGAACACCGAUCGCGAAGGCAGCUAGCUAGACCGACAUUGACGCUGAGGCACGAAAGCGUGGGGAUCAAACAGG
rnacentral:rRNA from 1 species